UACGUAGGGGGCAAGCGUUGUCCGGAAUUAUUGGGCGUAAAGAGCGUGUAGGCGGCCAGAUAAGUCCGCUGUGAAAUCUCGAGGCUCAACUUCGAGCUGUCGGUGGAAACUAUCUGGCUAGAGUCCGGAAGAGGAGAAUGGAAUUCCUGGUGUAGCGGUGAAAUGCGCAGAUAUCAGGAGGAACACCAGCGGCGAAGGCGGCGCUCUGGGCCGGUACUGACACUGAGGAGCGAAAGCGUGGGGAGCAAACAGG
rnacentral:rRNA from 1 species